AAAUAGAUACCCCGGUAGUCCACGCCGUAAACGAUGUCGACUUGGAGGUUGUGCCCUUGAGGCGUGGCUUCCGGAGCUAACGCGUUAAGUCGACCGCCUGGAGAGUACGGCCGCAAGGUUAAAACUCAAAUGAAUUGACGGGGGGCCCGCACAAGCGGUGGAGCAUGUGGUUUAAUUCGAUGCAACGCGAAGAACCUUACCUACUCUUGACAUCCAGAGAACUUAGCAGAGAUGCUUUGGUGCCUUCGGGAACUCUGAGACAGGUGCUGCAUGGCUGUCGUCAGCUCGUGUUGUGAAAUGUUGGGUUAAGUCCCGCAACGAGCGCAACCCUUAUCCUUUGUUGCCAGCGGUUAGGCCGGGAACUCAAAGGAGACUGCCAGUGAUAAACUGGAGGAAGGUGGGGAUGACGUCAAGUCAUCAUGGCCCUUACGAGUAGGGCUACACACGUGCUACAAUGGCGCAUACAAAGAGAAGCGACCUCGCGAGAGCAAGCGGACCUCAUAAAGUGCGUCGUAGUCCGGAUUGGAGU
rnacentral:rRNA from 1 species